rnacentral:rRNA from 1 species
CCCAGACUCCUACGGGAGGCAGCAGUGGGGAAUAUUGCGCAAUGGGCGAAAGCCUGAUGCAGCGACGCCGCGUGGGUGAAGAAGUAUUUCGGUAUGUAAAGCCCUAUCAGCAGGGAAGAAAGAAGACGGUACCUGACUAAGAAGCCCCGGCUAACUACGUGCCAGCAGCCGCGGUAAUACGUAGGGGGCGAGCGUUAUCCGGAUUCACUGGGUGUAAAGGGAGCGUAGACGGCCGUGCAAGCCAGGAGUGAAAGCCCGGGGCCCAACCCCGGGACUGCUCUUGGAACUGUGCGGCUAGAGUGCGGGAGGGGCAGGCGGAAUUCCUGGUGUAGCGGUGAAAUGCGUAGAUAUCAGGAGGAACACCGGCGGCGAAGGCGGCCUGCUGGACCGCGACUGACGUUGAGGCUCGAAAGCGUGGGGAGCGAACAGGAUUAGAUACCCCAGUA